GUGUUACUUCGGUAGCACACAUACUAAAAUUGGAACGAUACAGAGAAGAUUAGCAUGGCCCCUGCGCCUGCGCAAGGAUGACACACAAAUUCAUGAAGCGUUCCUCAUUUUC
ensembl:snRNA U6 U6 spliceosomal RNA